rnacentral:lncRNA from 1 species
AGAUAGUAUUAUAUGAGGAGGAGAUAGUAUUAUAUGAGGAGGAGAUAGUAUUAUAGGAGGAGGAGAUAGUAUUAUUAUAGGAGGAGAUAGUAUUAUUAUAGGAGGAGAUAUUAUUAUUAUAGGAGGAGAUAUUAUUAUUAUAGGAGGAGAUAUUAUUAUUAUAGGAGGAGAUAUUAUUAUUAUAGGAGGAGAUAGUAUUUUAGGAGGAGAUAGUAUUAUAGGAGGAGAUAGUAUUAUAGGAGGAGAUAGUAUUAUAGGAGGAGAUAGUAUUAUAGGAGGAGAUAGUAUUAUAGGAGGAGAUAGUAUUAUAGGAGGAGAUAGUAUUAUAGGAGGAGAUAGUAUUAUUAU